rnacentral:rRNA from 1 species
UACGAAGGGGGCUAGCGUUGUUCGGAAUUACUGGGCGUAAAGCGCACGUAGGCGGGUCGUUAAGUCAGGGGUGAAAUCCCAGAGCUCAACUCUGGAACUGCCUUUGAUACUGGCGACCUAGAGUUCGGAAGAGGUUAGUGGAACUGCGAGUGUAGAGGUGAAAUUCGUAGAUAUUCGCAAGAACACCAGUGGCGAAGGCGGCUCACUGGCCCGGUACUGACGCUGAGGUGCGAAAGCGUGGGGAGCAAACAGG